rnacentral:rRNA from 1 species
UUCCGGUUGAUCCUGCCGGACCUGACUGCUAUCGGAUUGAUACUAAGCCAUGCGAGUCAUUGUAGCAAUACAAGGCAGACGGCUCAGUAACGCGUAGUCAACCUAACCUAUGGACGGGAAUAACCUCGGGAAACUGAGAAUAAUGCCCGAUAGAACACUAUAUCUGGAAUGGUUUGUGUUCCAAAUGAUUUAUCGCCGUAGGAUGGGACUGCGGCCUAUCAGUUUGUUGGUGAGGUAAUGGCCCACCAAGACUAUUACAGGUACGGGCUCUGAGAGGAGUAGCCCGGAGAUGGGUACUGAGACACGGACCCAGGCCCUAUGGGGCGCAGCAGGCGAGAAAACUUUGCAAUGUGCGAAAGCACGACAAGGUUAAUCCGAGUGGUUUGUGCUAAACGAACCUUUUGUCGGUCCUAGAAACACCGAUGAAUAAGGGGUGGGCAAGUUCUGGCGUCAGCCGCCGCGGUAAAACCAGCACCUCAAGUGGUCAGGAUGAUUAUUGGGCCUAAAGCAUCCGUAGCCAGCGCUGUAAGUUUUCGGUUAAAUCUGUACGCUCAACGUACAGGCUGCCGGGAAUACUGCAGCGCUAGGGAGUGGGAGAGGUAGACGGUACUCGGUAGGAAGGGGUAAAAUCCUUUGAUCUAUUGAUGACCACCUGUGGCGAAGGCGGUCUACCAGAACACGUCCGACGGUGAGGGAUGAAAGCUGGGGGAGCAAACCGGAUUAGAUACCCGGGUAGUCCCAGCUGUAAACUAUGCAAACUCAGUGAUGCAUUGGCUUGUGGCCAAUGCAGUGCUGCAGGGAAGCCGUUAAGUUUGCCGCCUGGGAAGUACGUACGCAAGUAUGAAACUUAAAGGAAUUGGCGGGGGAGCACACAACGGGUGAAGCCUGCGGUUCAAUUGGAGUCAACGCCGGAA